UCACGCUCGUCGCCUCUCACACCCGUCACUACUAUGAAGACUCCAUGACUCCAUAGCUUCCUUCUACCCAGAGCUUUGCUGACGUGAGGUAAGUAUCACUCCCUUUACCUUCAUCCUCGUUCUCCAUUGUUAAUAUUUAUUUCAAGUAAACAUUGAAAUUCCUCUGAUCCAUUGUUAAUAUUAUGAAUUUGCUUCAUAAAUUUCUUUAAAAAUCAAAUAAUUGUUAAACCCUUUGAGUUUUGGGUCAUUUUGGUUAUGGGUUUGAGCAAUUUAUCCAAUAUGAGGUGAUUGCCAGGGAAAGAACAAGAGAUGUUCUCGUGAACUUCACCUAUGUUUAUUUUAAUUGACCUUUUAGACAUUUUAAGUUGCAAACCACCUCUUAUGGUUCAAGUGAAAUGUCAUGUUUCUGAAAUUUGCAGAUUGAUGUGACUGUGUAAGCAUAGCAAAUCUUCUUGUCUUUGAAAUUUGCUUUUAAAAAAAAUUAGAUUUAGGCCUAUUUUGUGGCCUUAACACUACUUGCCUACUUGAAUGAUUAUGAGAUUCCUUUUUCCACAGAAAAUUCUUGUGGCCAAGAUUAUUAUGGCAAAUGUAACUCUUGUGCCAGGCAAUAUGGAGAACAAACUGAUUAAAAUUUUGAAUUGUCAACAUUAGAAUUGACCUGCAGUGGGUUAAUUUUCUUCUAACUUAGAUUUAGCUCUAUCAACUUCACCUAUGUUGGUUUGAUGAAUAAUUGUCACAAAGUAUUGCAACUCUGCAUUUUGAUUUCAUUUGUUUGCCUUUCCUGUCAUGUUUGUGUUCAUUUGAAAUGCUACUCAUCAGCAGCAAACUAAAACCAAUGCCCAUAAUAUUAACAAGUUGUUAAUUUAGACAAUUUAUUGCCUGUAGUUCUCUAUUCUAUAUUUCCUCAUAUAAUGUUAGACUUGUUUCCCUUCUUACUAAUGAGUGUAGUAGAUUUGAACAUACUAAUUUAAAGUCAUUGAACUCUAUAUAAAAUUUCCAUGUAUGUUAUUGAGUGAUUGACUAACCUAGCUAAUUAAACAAAUCUUUUCAUGCAUGACUAACAGGUUUAAGAAAAAUAAUAAGGGUCUGAUUCACAGCAAAUACAUAGAUGAGGAUUGUAGAAAUGAAACCUGCUAGAGAGUUCAAUGUUUACUAUAGUUCUUAUUUCUAAAAAUAGCUAUUAUUUGUUGUUUGAAACACAAAAUGAGUCGUCUCCCAAUUGUUUUGAGAAGGUGAAGGCGGUUUCGCAUGAUAACAACUAUGUGUGCCAUGGCUAUGGCUAGGAUGGAGACAGAUGAAUCAUUAAGUUUUGAGCAUUCUCGUGGUAGGGGAAAAAAAUAAAUGCUUUUGGACUGAUGAAGAGUCCAAAGCAUUGAUUGAUUCAUUGCAAGAGUUGUCAUGUGAUCCAAUGUGGAAAUCAGAUGGUGGUUUUAGAAAUGGGUAUAUGGGUGAGUUAAGAAGUUAAAUUGCCAACUUUCUCAAAACAAGUGAAUCCACAUAUUGAUUCUAACUUAAAGUGGUUAAAGAAUAAAUUUCAUGUUAUUACUGAAAUGUGUAACCAAAGUGGAUGCUAAUGGGAUGAUGCUGGAAAGAAAAUCAAGUGUGAAUGACAAUGGUAUUUAAGUUGGAUUCAGACACACAAGGAUGCAAAGGGUGUCUGGGACUUAAGAUUUCCUUACUUGGAAGUUUUGGAAACUAUUUAUGCAAAAGAUAGAGCUACAGGGAGAGGAGCAUUGGGAUUUGAAGAAGCAAUUGGACAAAUGGAAGUUGAUUUAGAAAUAGACCAGUCUAUGUCAAUUAAAAAUGGCAAUUUAAGUGGCUAUUUUGUAGAACAAAUAUAUGUGCAGUCCACUUUCGAUUUGGGUCGGGUCAAAGUGGAUUCGGGUUCUUCGUACUUAGACGAAGAGAUUGAUAUAUUGUACGCGCAAAACGGAUAAAGGGUGAAUGAGAAAUUGUUUCUCAAAGUUGACCCAUUUGAGUUGGAAAAAUGGUGGGAAAACUUUAGAAUAAGGCUUUGUCCUACAUUGGUUUGGAAAGUGGAUUUGCACCACUAUUUAUACAAGAGCCUUUAUUAGGCUUAGUG